CCUACGGGAGGCAGCAGUAGGGAAUCUUCCACAAUGGGCGCAAGCCUGAUGGAGCAACACCGCGUGAGUGAAGAAGGGUUUCGGCUCGUAAAGCUCUGUUGUUGGAGAAGAACGUGCGUGAGAGUAACUGUUCACUCAGUGACGGUAUCUAACCAGAAAGUCACGGCUAACUACGUGCCAGCAGCCGCGGUAAUACGUAGGUGGCAAGCGUUAUCCGGAAUUACUGGGCGUAAAGCGAGCGCAGGCGGUUGCUUAGGUCUGAUGUGAAAGCCUUGGGCUUAACCGAAGAAGUGCAUCGGAAACUGGGCGGCUAGAGUGCAGAAGAGAGCAGUAGAACUCCAUGUGUAGCGGUGGAAUGCGUAGAGAUAUGGAAGAACACCGGUGGCGAAGGCAGCUGUCUGGUAAGCAACUGACGCUGAGGCGCGAAAGCAUGGGGAGCGAACAGGAUUAGAUACCCGAGUAGUC
rnacentral:rRNA from 1 species